rnacentral:rRNA from 1 species
UACGUAGGGCGCAAGCGUUAUCCGGAAUUAUUGGGCGUAAAGAGCUCGUAGGCGGUUUGUCGCGUCUGCCGUGAAAGUCCGGGGCUCAACUCCGGAUCUGCGGUGGGUACGGGCAGACUAGAGUGAUGUAGGGGAGACUGGAAUUCCUGGUGUAGCGGUGGAAUGCGCAGAUAUCAGGAGGAACACCAGUGGCGAAGGCGCCACUCUGGGCCGUAACUGACGCUGAGGAGCGAAAGCGUGGGGAGCGAACAGG